rnacentral:rRNA from 1 species
CCUUCGGGCUUUAGUGGCGAACGGGUGAGUAACGCGUAAGCAAUCUGCCUUUAAGACGAGGAUAACAGUUGGAAACGACUGCUAAGACUGGAUAGGAGAUAGGAAGGCAUCUUCUUAUUUUUAAAAGACCUAGUAAUAGGUAUGCUUAAAGAGGAGCUUGCGUCACAUUAGUUAGUUGGUAGGGUAAAAGCCUACCAAGACUAUGAUGUGUAGCCGGGCUGAGAGGUCAAACGGCCACAUUGGGACUGAGACACGGCCCAAACUCCUACGGGAGGCAGCAGUAAGGAAUUUUCGGCAAUGGAGGAAACUCUGACCGAGCAACGCCGCGUGAACGAUGAAGUAUUUCGGUACGUAAAGUUCUUUUAUUAGGGAAGAAAAGAUGGUGGAAAAACCAUUAUGACGGUACCUAAUGAAUAAGCCCCGGCUAACUAUGUGCCAGCAGCCGCGGUAAUACAUAGGGGGCAAGCGUUAUCCGGAAUUAUUGGGCGUAAAGGGUGCGUAGGCGGUUAAAUAAGUUUAUGGUCUAAGUGCAAUGCUCAACGUUGUGAUGCUAUAAAAACUGUUUAGCUAGAGUUGGAUAGAGGCAAGUGGAAUUUCAUGUGUAGUGGUAAAAUGCGUAAAUAUAUGGAGGAACACCAGGAGCGAAGGCGGCUUGCUGGGUCUUAACUGACGCUGAGGCACGAAAGCGUGGGGAGCAAACAGGAUUAGAUACCCUGGUAGUCCACGCCCUAAACGAUGAGUACUAAACGUUGGGUAAAACCAGUGUUGAAGUUAACACAUUAAGUACUCCGCCUGAGUAGUACGUACGCAAGUAUGAAACUUAAAGGAAUUGACGGGACUCCGCACAAGCGGUGGAUCAUGUUGUUUAAUUCGAAGGUACCCGAAAAACCUCACCAGGUCUUGACAUGCUUUUGCAAAGCUGUAGAAAUACAGUGGAGGUUAUCAAUUGCACAGGUGGUGCAUGGUUGUCGUCAGCUCGUGUCGUGAGAUGUUGGGUUAAGUCCCGCAACGAGCGCAACCCUUGUUGUUAAUUGCCAGCAUGUAAUGAUGGGGACUUUAGCAAGACUGCCAGUGAUAAAUUGGAGGAAGGUGGGGACGACGUCAAAUCAUCAUGCCCCUUAUGACCUGGGCUACAAACGUGAUACAAUGGCUGUUACAAAGGGUAGCUAAAGCGCAAGCUUCUGGCGAAUCUCAAAAAAGCAGUCUCAGUUCGGAUUGA